rnacentral:rRNA from 1 species
AAAUUGAAGAGUUUGAUCAUGGCUCAGAUUGAACGCUGGCGGCAGGCCUAACACAUGCAAGUCGAACGGUAACAGGAAACAGCUUGCUGUUUCGCUGACGAGUGGCGGACGGGUGAGUAAUGUCUGGGAAACUGCCUGAUGGAGGGGAUAACUACUGGAAACGGUAGCUAAUACCGCAUAACGUCGCAAGACCAAAGAGGGGGACCUUCGGGCCUCUUGCCAUCGGAUGUGCCCAGAUGGGAUUAGCUUGUUGGUGGGGUAACGGCUCACCAAGGCGACGAUCCCUAGCUGGUCUGAGAGGAUGACCAGCCACACUGGAACUGAGACACGGUCCAGACUCCUACGGGAGGCAGCAGUGGGGAAUAUUGCACAAUGGGCGCAAGCCUGAUGCAGCCAUGCCGCGUGUAUGAAGAAGGCCUUCGGGUUGUAAAGUACUUUCAGCGGGGAGGAAGGGAGUAAAGUUAAUACCUUUGCUCAUUGACGUUACCCGCAGAAGAAGCACCGGCUAACUCCGUGCCAGCAGCCGCGGUAAUACGGAGGGUGCAAGCGUUAAUCGGAAUUACUGGGCGUAAAGCGCACGCAGGCGGUUUGUUAAGUCAGAUGUGAAAUCCCCGGGCUCAACCUGGGAACUGCAUCUGAUACUGGCAAGCUUGAGUCUCGUAGAGGGGGUAGAAUUCCAGGUGUAGCGGUGAAAUGCGUAGAGAUCUGGAGGAAUACCGGUGGCGAAGGCGGCCCCCUGGACGAAGACUGACGCUCAGGUGCGAAAGCGUGGGGAGCAAACAGGAUUAGAUACCCUGGUAGUCCACGCCGUAAACGAUGUCGACUUGGAGGUUGUGCCCUUGAGGCGUGGCUUCCGGAGCUAACGCGUUAAGUCGACCGCCUGGGGAGUACGGCCGCAAGGUUAAAACUCAAAUGAAUUGACGGGGGCCCGCACAAGCGGUGGAGCAUGUGGUUUAAUUCGAUGCAACGCGAAGAACCUUACCUGGUCUUGACAUCCACAGAACUUUCCAGAGAUGGAUUGGUGCCUUCGGGAACUGUGAGACAGGUGCUGCAUGGCUGUCGUCAGCUCGUGUUGUGAAAUGUUGGGUUAAGUCCCGCAACGAGCGCAACCCUUAUCCUUUGUUGCCAGCGGUCCGGCCGGGAACUCAAAGGAGACUGCCAGUGAUAAACUGGAGGAAGGUGGGGAUGACGUCAAGUCAUCAUGGCCCUUACGACCAGGGCUACACACGUGCUACAAUGGCGCAUACAAAGAGAAGCGACCUCGCGAGAGCAAGCGGACCUCAUAAAGUGCGUCGUAGUCCGGAUUGGAGUCUGCAACUCGACUCCAUGAAGUCGGAAUCGCUAGUAAUCGUGGAUCAGAAUGCCACGGUGAAUACGUUCCCGGGCCUUGUACACACCGCCCGUCACACCAUGGGAGUGGGUUGCAAAAGAAGUAGGUAGCUUAACCUUCGGGAGGGCGCUUACCACUUUGUGAUUCAUGACUGGGGUGAAGUCGUAACAAGGUAACCGUAGGGGAACCUGCGGUUGGAUCACCUCCUUACCUUAAAGAAGC